rnacentral:misc_RNA from 1 species
AUUUAGCCCCGAUAGAAGCGGUAUCUCCCGAUUUAGAAAAACAAGGCUUUUUCAGUCGUAGUUUUUGUUGAUCAGGAAUUUAGCGGAUAGUGGAACAAAUG